GGUGUUGGAGAGUGAAACUUUUAGAGGGAGUGAAUCAGCUUCUAGAUCUCCCCACCUUGUUUCAUCUCAUGGUCUUCGAGGAAGUGCAUCAUCUGGUGCCAGAGACAUGCAUAACUCAUCUGAAUCUCUUAGUGUGAGGGCUGUUGCUAGUCCUGGUAGCCGAACCAGAUCAGGAUCUUGAUAAACUCCAAGCAAAGCUAUUUUUCCUUUUUGUAAGUGCUUCCUUCUUAUUUACGUAUGAUCUACUUGUAUAUUGAUAUUGGUUCAAGAUCACACCAAAUUUCAUGAACUAUUACAUCGUGCUUUUUGAUAAACUUAAGAUCAUCGAUGCUUGCUCUCUUUGCAUGGGCCUUCUCUAGGUAUAAUUGUCUCAAGAGUCUGCCAUAGAAGCCAUUGCAACUUGUUUGGUUCUUAGUACCCCAGAUGGGCAGAGUUCCAGAUGCAGCACCAGAUGAGUCUCUUGUUUGCCUUUAUGCCCUCAUCUGAGGACAAUUCUUGGGGACAGGCAGAGAUUUGCAAUGGGCUCAAGUAUGUAGGAUGUGUAUAUAUCUCCCUCUCGGCUUCAUAUAAU
rnacentral:lncRNA from 1 species